rnacentral:rRNA from 1 species
AUUCCUACGGGAGGCAGCAGUAGGGAAUCUUCCACAAUGGGCGCAAGCCUGAUGGAGCAACACCGCGUGAGUGAAGAAGGGUUUCGGCUCGUAAAGCUCUGUUGUUAGAGAAGAACGUGCGUGAGAGCAACUGUUCACGCAGUGACGGUAUCUAACCAGAAAGUCACGGCUAACUACGUGCCAGCAGCCGCGGUAAUAAU